CUCUUCCCGAUUACGUCAUGCAAGUCCCUGGCAUUGACAGGCCACCUGUAGGUUGAUAGGGGUUUAAAGAGACUUCUCCAGUUGCCACGGGUUCUAUUGUCUCUCCACUGGCUAGACGUUCCCGCAGGCUAGACUCCUAUAACCCACACAUCCCUAACCCCCUCGUCUAGGGGUGGCCUGUGGGGAUGGGGAGGGAGAGGAGAGGGUAUUCAGAUUUAAGUCCCUACACAUAUAGCUUCUCCUAACGCAAAUCCCUGACCCUAUUCUUCGUACUUUGCACCCAUUCAUUUUGGAGGAAAGGAGAAGCAAAUAAGUAGAAUAUGUGUUCGAGAUAUCUUUACAUACACAUCCCGAAGAUAUGAGAAGGAAAACACCCCUUCUUUCAUCUCCAGGACAGGAGCCAGAGUUGCGACGAGGUGGACUCUAGAACUGCAACAGGUGAACCGCAUCGCUGAGCUCCUCGGCCAAGUUAACGGAAGGUGUAGGAGAGGAGGAAAAAGGAACCGAAACAUGAGAGAUCUCUCACUGAUCAGGGUAAUCCGAAGUGAGACACCGAGAUUCCAGCUCCAGUCUGUUCUGAGUGCCUACGCUCAGCUCUUGAAAGGGGUUCGGUUCAGCUUGGUAAUAGUAUCUAAUGUCCUAACCUGGAAAAAGGUUCCCUAGAGAUGGUCAGAAUCUUACAUACCCUUCCAUAGCAAGAACUCAUCCCUUGUCUUAUUUCAAUCAGACAUCCGUUUUAAAUUUACAGGUUCUAAAGACCUAGCUAUGGGCGUCUCUCCUUUUCUGUACUUUGGCUGUUUGAGAAGACAAGAAUCUGAUCUGAACCCUAAAUGAAGAAAAAGAAACAAGACAAAGGGGACAAGGUUAAGUCGCACCCCUCUAAAUCUGGCAAUUUCGGCUCCUCCCUGAGCUCAUAAUUGCUCUAGAUUUCAAAGGGGUCGCCCUUUGCACAGUCUUGUUUCAUGAUGAAAAUAGGGCUUUGGGGGGGGGGGUUCAAAACUCAGUUUCAUUCUCCAGGUCACUUCUGCUCAAAAUCUCUUUUAAAGACUCACAUGGGGGUGUUGCCCGAGAUCUGAGGUACCUCUUCAGAACUAAGGUUUCAGGAGCCAGUUGAGGGAAGCUGCAGAAACCUGGCGAUAUCCUGUACUGUACCCCAAAGGUCCUGAGAGCUAUUCUGUCAGAUGCUUGGCUGUCAUUUAUACUAUUAAAAGGGAGUUGGGAGAGAAGGGUAAGUUUCUGCUGGGGUUAACUCUAGACAAAAGACUCCUGCUCUCAUCUCCCACCAUAUCCUACUGCCCCACCUUAUUAACUCAAGAAAUGAUUUCUGGUGUGUGUGUGUGUGUCUGUGUGUGUGUGUUAUCUUUUUGCUGAGCCUUCCCACAUCUCUUGCUGGAUUGUGGGAAUCACUUGUUUCACUUUUAUGUUGGUUUCUUUCAGACUAAGGUUGAAUAUUCUGGGCUACCUGUUUUCUGAUGUCCCUGAGCUCACUUACCACCUUUGUUAAUAAUUCACUAAGCGGUAAUAACUUGUCUUUGUGGUGCUCCGGAGGCUGACAAUCUGAGCCUAUCCUCAAGCUGAGCAACAGAGCCUCUACCUUCUGCUCUCCCCUCCCCUUUGCACUUACUCCUAACGACACCGCCCCUCCCUUCCCCCCAUUGCCUGCCUCCGCGCUUGUCAUCUCACGACACCACAGUUCCAGGAAAAAUCGACCCCUUGCUGACAAUAACUCUGCUCCUGGAAUAUUCUGGUUAACAGGUUUCAGCACUAGAAGCCCGGACAGCGCCUUGGUAAUACGUAACUGAAAGGAGUCCCCGCCCCCUUCUGCCUAUCUGAUCUUCCUAUUUCCAAGGGGUAAUAGUCUUUGUCAGAACCUGAUUGAGAAAUCCGGUAGGUGAGAAGAAAAUUGGAAAAGGACUGGGAUUCUCCCCUCAUUCCCUAGGGCUACCUUCAAAACCAGCCCUUCUCUUCCCUAUUUCUAUUCCAAACCACAUAUGGAUUGUGAAUUUGGGCUGAAUUUUCAAACAAAAGCUCAACAGAGAACACAAGAAAGGAGCUGGGGGAAAGAAAGGAUGAGAGAAGGGCUAUAGGGGUUCCUAAUCCUGUUAAAGAUAAACUGAAAACAGUUUUGUUUCUCUGGAAAAUAUCCCAAUCACCCUCCUAUUCAUUCAUUUCCCUCCUGUGUUUAACACAGAGCAUUUGAAAUCUCCCACCCUCUCUUUCCCCAAUGACCCCUGUGGAGUGGGACAGAGUCAGGAGAUGAAUUGUUAGUGUAAGAUAUGGGAAUGGACACUGGAGAACUCUUUGGACUGUGAGAAUAACAGGGAAGAUCCUCAAAUGCCUGUAGAACUAAUUUAGAAAAAAGGCAGACAGUUGUCUCCUGCCAGUCGCUGGAGAUGGAAAACUCCACUUCUUUUCCAAUACAGGAGGAAGUGUUAAAGAGAAUGUUGUCAUGGAGGAAACCAUGGUAACCAACUUCCUAAGAACACAGCAGUGAAUUGAGAGCCAGAAACAAGAAGGAGGUGUGGGGUUCAUGGACCCAAUAGGCAGGAAAUCCUUGAUUUAGAGACUGGUUCCCAGAGGUGGUACUAAUCUGAGUGAAAACCCACCAGGUGGUUAUCAACCUGAUUUACCUCAGAGCUGAAGUUUUUGCCUGGACUCCACAAGUUUCUUCCCUUCAAGAAAGCAAGACAACUUUUUUUAAUGGAAAAGGUCCAGGGACUUUAAUUUUUUGAAAGCAGAGACAAUUUUGUAAAGAAAAAAAAGACAAGUCAAAAGACAGAUAGACCUAUCGAUGACACAGAAGAACAAUAGGAAAAGAUCCUGAGACAUAAAGGACACUCAACCCAGAGCCAUCUUGAAGCUAUUAUAGAGUCUGCAUCGUCUUGAAGAGCUGGGAUUAUAAAUCACGUGAAUGAAAGGCAUAGAAUCCAGGAGCACUGAGGAGAAGGAAGAGAAGAGAAUUGCUGCCUCCUGGAACACUGUUUGAUCUUCUCAAGGUAUUUCUUUGUUUCCUGGAAAACAGCAAAGAAGUCUACCCCGACAGCCCCGAAAAGCCUCUGGGAACUAUCUGCCACAACCCCAGCACAUUCUAGAAACAAGACAAUCAAUAAUGUAUAUGAAGAAGGGACUCACUCCUAAAACAGUCUGGCCUUCCUGAGUGUAUGUAGGCAGCUUGACAAACUACUGACUGACAUAGGGAGUGAGGAGUAGAAUCCCCUAUGGUCGUUCAUUCAGAAAAUAUAUUAAAUGUUUAAUAUGUA